UAAGCCUACGGGGGGCAGCAGUGGGGAAUAUUGGGCAAUGGGCGCAAGCCUGACCCAGCAACGCCGCGUGAAGGAAGAAGGCUUUCGGGUUGUAAACUUCUUUUCUGAGGGACGAAGAAAGUGACGGUACCUCAGGAAUAAGCCACGGCUAACUACGUGCCAGCAGCCGCGGUAAUACGUAGGUGGCAAGCGUUAUCCGGAUUUAUUGGGUGUGAAGGGCGUGUAGGCGGGAAUGCAAGUCAGAUGUGAAAACUAUUGGCUCAACCCAUAGCCUGCAUUUGAAACU
rnacentral:rRNA from 1 species